UUUUAUUGAAGCUGAAACUUGUUGGUAUUUACAUGACGAUACAAGGGGUUUAUAUAGAAAACAAAUAGACACAACACAUAAUGAGUUGUGUCUCUUCGUACUUGUGUCCCUUGACAAGUAACCACUUAAUAUAUGAAACUUUAAUAUAGACAGAACUCAAUUAUCGACCAACAGUCCCCCUUAAUUGAGUUUCUGUCUUCUUCCAAACUUCUCUUCAACCCUUGACCUUGUUUACUUCUCCCUUGCAAGUAAAACACUUGUGUCCGACUUUCUCCAUCUCAAUGGAAAAAUCUUCUGCUUCCUCUUAAUAUCAAGUCUCCUUCUUCCUUGAGGAUCGUUGAUGAGACAUCUAUUGUCUUCAAAUAAGAGCCCUUAGCCAUUGGAAAUCAUUUGAGAAACACUCAACCAAUUUCUCGCUACACCGGAACUAGAAAACACCUCUUUGAUGAUCUUCUCUCCUUGGCUUGUUAUCACUUGGAUAUUUCCUUUCGGUGUCCUCUUGAUCACCAAAUCUGUGCGUGAACUCCUCCACGUCUUCUUCGGUGUCUUUUUUUUUUUUUUUUUUUUUAUCACCAUAACGUUUCCAUGACGUCUUGUGCGUGAAUCUUCUUCACGUCGUCUUCGGUUUACUCUUCAACCGACUUAUGCUCCAUUUUUCUCCGAGGUAAGCAUCAUCUUGUGCUCCAUUUUUCUCCGAGGUAAGCAUCCUCUUAUGGUGUCCUCUUUUGAUCACCUCCACGUCUUUUUGACGUCUUGUGCGUGAAAAUCUCUUCACGUCUUCGUCGGCUAUCUUUGCAACCGAACUGAACUCUGCUCCCUCUCUCUUAGGUAAGCAGCUUCACACUCGUAGGCAAGCUAACAUCUCUGUGUUGCUUUCUCCAACAAUCACCUCAAUGUGAUCGUCACACGUACAAAAGUCACACUAUUUCUUGGCCUUCUUUUGACUUUUGUCGCCCCGUUUGUUUCUUCCUUUUGAAGCAAACUUUUCUCCACGUUUUCGUGUUGUAGUCAUCUUCACAACUCAACACAACGUUUUGAUAAUAAGCCUUGCUCAGUUUGUUACAACAGCGGCUUUCCCGUCUUGCGCUUCACCAAGACGUUGUUGAACAAAUUUUCAGAACUCUCCUUCCACAACUCCAAAUCCACAUUCGUUUUCUCCAUUGCCUCUAGAGAAGAUUUCCUAUCUUCUUCAUCGCUUUUGGAGCCUUCCUCUUGAAGGUACUUCAUGUGAAUGUGUUUGUGAAAACUGAUGGUACUUUCUCUUGUUACCACCUCUUAUUUCUUCUUCUUCCCUCUUCUUCUUCCUCUUCAUCUCACCAUAGAUUUGUUGUCUCCAUCUCUCUUUUUCUUUUCGCAGCAGAAGACAUCUUAUUUUUGUAGAGACAACCAAGGACAACCAUCGGCUCUGAUACCAUGUUGGAUUAUUGAGAGAGAGAAGAAAAACAGAGUAAGAGAGACAUAUCUCUUCUCUUGUGAAGAAGACAAGAACAAAACUUUGUUUUAUUGAAACUGAAACUUGUUGGUAUUUACAUGACGAUACAAGGGGUUUAUAUAGAAAACAAAUAGACACAACACACAAUGAGUUGUGUCUCUUCGUACUUGUGUCCCUUGACAAGUAACCACUUAAUACAUGAAACUUUAAUAUAGACAGAACUCAAUUAUCGACCAACAAGCGUGAACUGUGUGAGAUGGGUGUUCAAUAUAUUCUAAGCACUCAUCAACACAUUUCUUGUGGACAUAAAAGUCACAUCUUUUGCAGUAAUAGCCACCAGUGGUAAAUCCAGAGCGUCCACAGCAAUCACCUCUCUUUAGAUCAUUCCAAGGCAUCAUAAGAUGCUUGUGGAUCAACGGUAGUGACACUCCCUCUAACUCCAUGGUCGUAUACUACAAGAUUUGAUAAGAAGAAGAAGUGAAAAAAAGAAGAAGAAAGAAGAAGAGAAAAUGGAAUCUGAGAUCUUUUUUUUUUGCUAAGAAAUCUGAGAUCUCAAAAGUCAAAACUAUGCUCAAUCUGAGAAAGUCCAUGGUCGUUC
rnacentral:lncRNA from 1 species